AAACAUAUGGUAAAGCUGGUAGGAUUUGCAGAUCAGUGAGGUCAGGGCAUCUUUGGACUGGGGCCUCAAAAUCUAGGGCGUCUCCAGCCAAGGUGUAAAAUAUUUUUGACACUCCUUCAAAGGUUUAUCUUACAAAUGCUGUAAUAACACACUGUAGUCUCUGAACAACCCUUCAGUAAUUUUCCUUUUUGUAACCCUGAGUCCACCAGGGCAGCUAAAGAGUUAGGAUAUUCCAUAUAAGGAAGAAAAGGCACAAUCUUCUCAGAUUCACUGGGGGACCUGAAGCUGCAGGCAGUUCCCCUCAGAAGGACUCCAACAUCAUUAUAAACCACAUAUUAAUAUUCUAGUCUCCUCUUCAAAUAAUGAUGGAUCCAACAGCACCUUUCUUGGACACUUCCUAUCCUUAUUACAUCCCCUGUUCCAUGUCACUAUUGUCACUGUUGGUCAUGCGAUGCCUGCCAGAAACUUUCUGAUGGUCGAAGAGGUCCCAUCCUCUUUUGUCACUAGUGGAAAAGAUCCCAUGAUCCCCAGUCCAGCUUUCUUGGUGGUCAACAGAGAACCCAUCCUACCUUUUUUUUUUUACCAAUGGAUGAACUUACACUAUGAAUCAUACUGAAGACAACCCUAUAAAUCAUUUUAAAAUAGCUUAUAUCAUAGGAGCAGAAGAGAGAAAGAUGUAGACUAGCUAACUUCUCUUCUCAUUACGGUUCUUUCUGGUACCAUUUUACUGCUUAGAUGUGUAUUUGGGAGAUUGAGUUAGCCCAUAAAUGUUUCAUUGCUCAUGAUCAGUGUUC